rnacentral:rRNA from 1 species
UACGGGAGGCAGCAGUGGGGAAUAUUGCACAAUGGGCGAAAGCCUGAUGCAGCUAUGCCGCGUGUAUGAAGAAGGCCUUAGGGUUGUAAAGUACUUUCAUCGGGGAGGAAAAACAAAACUAAUAAUUUUAUUUCUUGACGUUACCCGAAAAAGAAGCACCGGCUAACUCCGUGCCAGCAGCCGCGGUAAUACGGAGGGUGCUAGCGUUAAUCAGAAUUACUGGGCGUAAAGAGCACGUAGGUGGUUUUUUUAAGUCAGAUGUGAAAUCCCUGGGCUUAACCUAGGAACUGCAUUUUGAAACUGAAAUACUAGAGUAUCGUAGAGGGAGGUAGAAAUUCUAGGUGUAGCGGUGAAAUGCGUAGAUAUCUGGAGGAAUACCUGUGGCGAAAGCGGCCUCCUAAACGAAUACUGACACUGAGGUGCGAAAGCGUGGGGAGCAAACAGGGAUUAGAUACC